CGCGAAUUCGCCCUUCGGGGUGCAGCAGGCGCGAAAACUUUACAAUGCUGGCAACAGCGAUAAGGGGACCUCGAGUGCCAGGAUACAAUCUUGGCUGUCGCGAUGCCUAAAAAGCAUUGCAUAGCAAGGGCCGGGCAAGACCGGUGCCAGCCGCCGCGGUAACACCGGCGGCUCGAGUGGUAACCGCUAUUAUUGGGUCUAAAGGGUCUGUAGCCGGCCGGAUAAGUCUUUUGGGAAAUCCAGCUGCUCAACAGUUGGGCUUUCAGAAGAUACUGUUCGGCUCGAGACCGGGAGAGGUGAGAGGUACUUCAGGGGUAGGGGUGAAAUCUUGUAAUCCUUGAAGGACCACCAGUGGCGAAGGCGUCUCACCAGAACGGAUCUGACAGCAAGGGACGAAAGCUAGGGGCACGAACCGGAUUAGAUACCCGGGUAGUCCUAGCCGUAAACGAUACUCGCUAGGUGUCAGCCACGGUGCGACCGUGGUUGGUGCCGUAGGGAAGCCGUGAAGCGAGCCACCUGGGAAGUACGGCCGCAAGGCUGAAACUUAAAGGAAUUGGCGGGGGAGCAC
rnacentral:rRNA from 1 species